rnacentral:lncRNA from 1 species
UUUGUGUUGUGCUUAAUUGCUCUCCUUUUAGAACUUCUUUAUUCUCUUGCAUUCUUGCAUUCAAUCAUCAACCUUGAAUCAACUACACUCUCCUUACUUAUCUUGCUAUUGUUAAAUAAUCUUCAUAAGGUGUAAGUUUAAAAUUUUUUAGAAACCCAAUUCAUCCCCCACCUCUUGGGUUGCAUAGCUGGGCAACAAACGCCCUGCGGAGCGCACCUGUAGUAGCUUCCUGAUUGUAGAACCUCUCUAGUGUCAGGUUCACUUGUCGCUUGCAAUAUUUGCUAAUAAAUUAUGUUUUUUCUGAGAUUAUAAUGGCUAAAAUUUAUGUUCAGAUGCUCUUUGUAUGACUAGAAAAUCUAAAUUGACAUGAUAUGGGAAACCAGUAUUUAGAUUCAGCAGUUUAAAAUGUUUACAAGCGGGAGUUGAGUUUAUACUUAGUACUCAAGGCUUCGGGAUAUUUUGAAAUUACGAAAUCUCAACAAAAAUAGGUUCUAUACAGAUUUGCUAAGCUUUCAUCCCCUCAUCGGUAUUACCCUGGGGAUUUAGUGUGCUUAUCCAUUGCCAAUCCUCAAGGUUUUACAGGUUUCAAUCAACGCACCAAAGAAAAUAAAAAAAAGGAAAGAGCACCAAAAAGAAGAACAGAGGAACAAACUACAUGAGCAAAGGCGCCUGCCAUCCCAACAGUAUGGAGAUGAAUUUACAUAAGAGAUGUUUAAUUCAACAUAAACAGAAGUGGAAUAUGCAGAGAUUAUAACAUCCAAGGCAUUGCUAUGUCAUAAAAGCAUAUAAAAGAGCUAGAAUACAAAUAAUAGAAUAGCAACCUUAAACAAGACCUAUCUUAAUUAAUAAUAUAACAUGUAAUGCAAUCCCAUGUUUCUCUUGAUUCUUCCACAUUGAUUCAAAACAUUCCACUUACGAUGGAAUUUAGUCAUCAUACUGCCGAAAUUAGUUUAGGCCCUUCUGUUCUUAUCUAUUAGAUGAUGAUCAAAGACAGCUAGUUUUAAAGGCAAAAACUUAAAUCCAUCCCAAUAUGAAAAAGUAAAGAAUAAUUACAGAGCACAAAAAGAUUUGUGAUAUUUGCCAUCUCUUAAAUCAUUAAAAAGCAAAAAAAAAAAAAGGACAGUUCAUUGCAAUUCCCUUUCUCUAUUUAUGGUUUACAUAACAAUUGCCAACUCACUAGCAUGUUUUCCUACAUGAGCUGUAAAAUUUAUUACCAUGACACCAUACCAUUUACUAGACCUACUAUGCUAUACAUUAAUGAAAGGAACAAGAAUGGUGUAUAAAACUGACCUAGGCUUUCUCACAAACAAAAUCCAUAGCACUGAAGAGGAAUUGCAAAACUCCUAGAGAUAGAAAGGAAAAGGAAAGGGGGAAAGGAAACUGCAAUCUGAUUAAGGGCAAGGAUUAGGAUAUCUUGCAUGAACCUUGUUGAUCUCUGCAAUUAUUUCCAUUGUAGGAUGGAUCUUAGAAGCUUGAAGAACUUCCCUUAGCUGCCAUGCUUUAGUUGCCCCAAAAACAGCACUUGCAACAAGAGGGUGCUUCAAGACAAAUGCUGCCAAAGAGGACACACAAAAGGGAAACCUGAGUGAGAAUAGAAUUUAAACGAAUGCCGGCAAUCUGCUAACACUGUUCAUACAGCAUUUGACUGGUAACAGAGACAACUAGGGACAAGUUGAAUUAUGUACCCACACAGGACCCUUCUCACAGGCUGAAAUUAAGACUCUUCAACUACUUUCCAUUAUUCUUGUGCAUUCUGGCAUCUAAUCAUUCGUUGGAUUCAUACCCAAAAAGCUGGAAUAUUCAUAUGAUAUGAAAACUAAAAGUAGUAGAAAAGUGGGAAGGAGGAGAGGGGAUCCAUGCAUCAGGAUACAUGGGUCACAGAUGAGAUGGUGGCCUAGUUAAGAUACAAAUUUGAUUGUUUUGAGCAGCAUUUUCUCGUCUUGCAUACAAUAAAAUAUAAAUUUUGCAGCUCAAUUUCCACAGUUCAACUAUGGAACCUUUUC